UACGUAGGGUGCAAGCGUUGUCCGGAAUUAUUGGGCGUAAAGAGCUCGUAGGCGGCUCAGUAAGUCGGGUGUGAAACCUCCAGGCUCAACCUGGAGACGCCACCUGAUACUGCUGUGGCUAGAGUCCGGUAGGGGAGCGUGGAAUUCCUGGUGUAGCGGUGAAAUGCGCAGAUAUCAGGAGGAACACCAGCGGCGAAGGCGGCGCUCUGGGCCGGAACUGACGCUGAGGAGCGAAAGCGUGGGUAGCAAACAGG
rnacentral:rRNA from 1 species